GGGUUCCAGGGGGAACUGUCUCUAGUUGAUGGAACAAUAUAGGCAAGGGAAGUCGGCAAAAUGGAUCUGUAACCUCGGGAAAAA